CAAAAGUAAAAACAGACACACACAGGAAAACAACAGAGUUGCUAUGGGAACUGCUGUGAAGUAUGUGAUGGCAGAAGUUCUGUUAGAACUCUAAAUCUAGUGAUGGAUAGAACUCUAAAUCUUCCUCAUCUGGGUGAAUACUGAUGGCCAACAAGCAAUACAAAUGUGAAAUAGAGCUGCAGACCUGCCUCUGUGAGAACCAAGAGGAAUUCUGCUGUGUUUUCAUUUGAGGAGUGUGUGUGUUUGUUUUUGUUUUGUUUUAAGUGUAUUUGCCUGAUGCAAUUCUAUUGUGUGCUGUAAGUACUGGAAUAUGCUUGUAGUAAGGAUGAAGACCUGGAACUUCCCAUUCUGAUUUAGGUCAGAUGUCAUAAAGAUAUCCGAAUAUCAAUUCCAGUUUGGUUGUUUUCCUGUUCUCCCACUUGUCCAUCAGGCCUUGUUGAUAAGCAGACAUGGCAGAUGACCUUGAAGUGUUUGUGUAACUGGAAACCAGGUGGAGAAUGGGACUUGYAUUAGAGGUGAAAGAGUCUAGUUCAACCUGAGGUUUUGAGUAGAYGCUAUAAACUGAUACCUGUAGCAGAAAUAAAAGCUUCUACAUCUAUGU